UGCCUGACGUGGACGCUNGCCUCGGGGAUUAAGCCAUGCAAGUCUGUGAAGUUUCUUAUAUGAAACAGUGUACGGCUCAGUAAAACACGUCAAUCUACCCACUUAUCUAAUAUAACCACGGGAAACUGUGGCUAAUAUUGUGGAUGAGGGCGUGACCUAUCAGCUAGUCGGUACGGUAAAGGCGUACGGAGGCGAUGACGGGUAACGGGGAAUAUGGGUUUUAUUCCGGAGAGGGAGCCUGAGAGAUGGCUACCACGUCCAAGGACGGCAGCAGGCGCGAAACUUACCCAAUGAACAUUGAGGUAGUUACGGGGUGUGACAUUCUAUGAACCGUGUCUUAAAAGCAGGGUUAAGACAUUGGAGGGCAAGUCUGGUGCCAGCAGCCGCGGUAAUUCCAGCUCCAAUAGCGUCUGUGUUUAUUGCUGCGGUUAAAACGUGCGUAGUCUGGUCUAUGGCUUGAGUGUAAUCCGUGCUUUUCUAGUACGGGUUAUUUCAGGAACCUAGACCUUGAGACGGGGAUGUGGUAAUGUUAUUUGGUAGCGAGAGGUGAAAUUCGAUGACCUACCAAGGAGCAACAGAGGCGAAAGCGAUUACCAGGAACCGAUCUGACGAUCAAGCACGUGAGCAGGAUUAUCGAAGAGGAUUAGAGACCCACGUAGUUCCUUGCAGUAAACGAUGCCUACAGCGUGGUGUUUUAUAGCAUUACGCAAGCGAAAGCUAGUGUAUGGGCUCCGGGGAUAGUACGGACGCAAGUUUGAAACUUGAAGAAAUUGACGGAAGGACACCACAAGGAGUGGAGUGUGCGGGUUAAUUUGACUCAACGCGGGAAACCUUACCCGGGCAAGUAAUAGUCGUGAGAUGUAUGUGGCAGAAGACAUUACGCGUGGUGCAUGGCCGUUCUUAACACGUGGAGUGAUCUGUCUGGUUAAAUCCGGUAACGUGUGAGAGGUUGAGCCCGAUGAACUAGUUUGCGAGAGCUAGCUAGUUGGGGACUGCAUGUGUGAACAUGAGGAAGUAACGCCCGAUAACAGGUCUGUGAUGCCCGUAGAUGUCCGGGGCUCCACGCGCACUACAAUGAGGUGAGGUUUAUCUUGUGUUUAACACCUCGUAGUUGGGAUUGAUGCUUGUAAUAGUGUCAUGAACGUGGAAUUCCUAGUAGUUGGUAGUCACUAACGACCAGCGAAUGCGUCCCUGUUCUUUGUACACACCGCCCGUCGUUAUCUAAGAUGGAAGUGCGGGUGAAGACACGAUGGCAGUAGACUAGGCGGGUUAAACCGCUUAGUUUAUAGUGUAAAAACGGGCCUUAGUGGAAGAAUCCGUGCAGCUAAAUUGGAUGUAAGUCGUAACAAUGG
rnacentral:rRNA from 1 species